rnacentral:rRNA from 1 species
UACGUAGGUGGCGAGCGUUGUCCGGAAUUACUGGGUGUAAAGGGCGCGUAGGCGGGCAGCCAAGUCUGAUGUGAAAUACCUGGGCUCAACUCAGGGGGUGCAUUGGAAACUGGUUUUCUUGAGUGACGGAGAGGUAAGCGGAAUUCCCAGUGUAGCGGUGGAAUGCGUAGAUAUUGGGAGGAACACCAGUGGCGAAGGCGGCUUACUGGACGUCAACUGACGCUGAGGCGCGAAAGCGUGGGGAGCAAACAGG